rnacentral:rRNA from 1 species
GAUGAACGCUGGCGGCGUGCCUAAUACAUGCAAGUCGAGCGAAUGGAUUAAGAGCUUGCUCUUAUGAAGUUAGCGGCGGACGGGUGAGUAACACGUGGGUAACCUGCCCAUAAGACUGGGAUAACUCCGGGAAACCGGGGCUAAUACCGGAUAACAUUUUGAACCGCAUGGUUCGAAAUUGAAAGGCGGCUUCGGCUGUCACUUAUGGAUGGACCCGCGUCGCAUUAGCUAGUUGGUGAGGUAACGGCUCACCAAGGCAACGAUGCGUAGCCGACCUGAGAAGGGGAUCGACCACACUGGGACUGAGACGCGUCCCAGACUCCUACGGGAGGCAGCAGUAGGGAAUCUUCCGCAAUGGACGAAAGUCUGACGGAGCAACGCCGCGUGAGUGAUGAAGGCUUUCGGGUCGUAAAACUCUGUUGUUAGGGAAGAACAAGUGCUAGUUGAAUAAGCUGGCACCUUGACGGUACCUAACCAGAAAGCCACGGCUAACUACGUGCCAGCCGCCGCCGUAA